AGCUCACGACUAGUACCAGACACCUAGCCAGCUAUUCAGGAAUGGUGAAGACCGUUUUACUAAACCAGAAUAACCCCUAACUACUCACAGAUAAGGAGAAGAAACUCUUUAGCUGUCACCAAGGAAACUCCUCUUUGCAACAAGGGACCACAACCAAUCAAAAUGAAGAGCUCAACAUUUUAAAAUUUAAUUGAAUUUUGUGUUUUCAGCAUGGGUGUGUUGAUUACAUUUAUUACGUCUGCCCAUCACAUGUGUAUCUGGUGCCAUCAGAGGACAGAAGAGGGUGUCAGAUGCCCCAAAAUUGGAAUUGUGGAUGGUUGUGAGAUGCCCUGUGGGUGCUGGGAAUGGAACCCAGGUCCUCUUGAGGAGCAGCGAUGCCCUGGAUCCACUGAACAUCUCUCCAGCCCCCAGGGUGAGGUGGGAAUUUCUGGUUUCUUUGGAAACUCAGUCAUGUCACGAGGUGUUUUUCUGGAUGCUGUCUGGGGAGAGGCUGUUUUACUGAAGCAUGUGAGAGCCUGUGAUGUUUUGCUGUCGUGGACACUUGAGAGGGUGUGUGAUAUUUGGAAAGAAUGUAAUCGGAACUCCACGAACAGUGAAAGGAGGUUCUUACAUUUCGAUGUGUACAAUGCUUCACUGGUCUUCGCUGGUCUUCACUCUGUAGAGAGAAACACACCAAAGAACUUCCUAUGGUAUUCUGGCUGAUUGUGGCUGCUUCCAUGGACUUUUGUCCAUUCGACAGAGCCUUGUGGUUUGUGCUGGAUCAAACCAGCACUGCUGCUUUAUGUUUGGUGCUUGCUAUUGAAUUGGACUGCUGGUACCCUAACAACAAUGAAUGGAAUUGCCCCCAAAGAACUACUUCUAAACAGGUCUACAACUCCCUUUUCCUAUAGACCUCCUUCUUCCUCUACCUCUGGUUGGUGGGCUAGAAGGGAAGUUGAAGAAUUUAAGAACCCUAAAUAAAGUAGAUUUAG
rnacentral:lncRNA from 1 species